rnacentral:lncRNA from 1 species
CGCCCCCAGGCCUCCCACGCCCCUGGAGGACCGUGCCUUCUCCACCUUCCCCUCCUUUGGCUCUGUGGGCGCGUGGCUGGAGGCCCUGGACCUGGGCCGCUACAAAGACAGCUUCGCUGCUGCGGGCUAUGGGAGCCUGGAGGCCGUGGCCGCCAUGACUGCCCAGGACCUGGUGAGCCUGGGCAUCUCAUCGGCGGAACACCGGGAGGACCUCCUCAGCGGGAUCAGCGCCCUGCGGGCCCGGGUGCUCCAGCUGCAGGGCCGGGGGGUGCAGGUGUGAGCAGCCCCACUCUUCCGGCCAGGAUCCCAGGGGGGCCUCCAGCCCCCAGCCCCACCCAGGACCCCUGCUGGCUGUGUUCCAUCUGUGCAGAAGGGAGAGCCCAGAGCUUACAUGGAGCCGCAGUCUUUCCCACUUCCCUGCCUGUUCCCCUCACUCCCCCUGGUCUGAGCACCUUGGCCGACUCAGUCCCCACCUAGAAAAAAGGUUCAACUCCUGGGGAGGACCCCUGAGGUAACAGUGGAAGGAAAUACAGGGUCACAGAGACCAAGGUGGGCAGGGGCAGGGAGGAAGAUGUAGCUUUAAAUGGCCUGAUUCAUGCCCUUCUGUCUUCUGCACCCACUGGAGUCUGGGGCCCACCCCAAAGGGUGCCCUCAGACCAGUGGGCACCAUGGGUCCCCAAGGGAUGGGCUGCUCUGGGACCUAGCAGGGACCACCCGUCCUUGUGGGCUGUGGCUCCUCAGCUCCCUGUGAUCCAGCUGGGCUGUGUCUGGACCCUGGUCCUGAGACCCAGGCAGGCAGAAGUGGUGCUGAGCUCAGGGGCUGGACCCUGAGACCCCAGACUCAGGAGCUGAUUUCUGCUUCCCCCACCCUUGAGGCGACCAUUCUGGGUGAGGGUCCUGGUGCUCUUCUGAGGUCCCAUUAGGUGUCCCCUACUACUUUGCAUUCCUUUUAUAAACUCACUGGCCAGGACAUUUGGGAGGAACAUGAGGAUAGAGGUUUUCUGCCCGGGACUCCAAGAGCUUUGCUCCCAGCCCUGGGGAUAGUGACUCUCAGAGAAGGAGCUUCUCUAACGGGCCAGUUCAGUCCUUACCGUACAGGCAGGAAAACCAAGGCUCAGUGAGGAGUCGGGGCCAGAGCUGGGCGUGUGCCCAUGGGCCCAACUCCUGAUCCAGAGUGUGGCUCCGGGGAGUCCUUGGUCCUCUGUGUUUCACCAACACUCUUCCUAGAGGCAGCCCAGGGGUACUCCGAGGUGACCCCUCUUUUGCAAGCUUCAGCCCCUGUACCACCCAGCCCUCAUGAAAUGCCUCUCCCCUCUGGGUCCUCUUCUGCAGGGCUUUGGCAGGAGUGGUUGCGCUGAGCUGACUCCAGAGCUCCUCAUCCAGGAGGGCUUCCUGGAGGUGGGAGUGAUCAUGAGGCCAGGGCUUUCGUAGGACAGAAGGCAGGCAACUGGCCCUGGAGAGGGUCACCCCUGACAUA